AUUAGAGUUUGAUCAUGGCUCAGAUUGAACGCUGGCGGCAGGCUUAACACAUGCAAGUCGAGCGGGGGAGAUUGCUUCGGUAAUUGACCUAGCGGCGGACGGGUGAGUAAUACUUAGGAAUCUGCCUAUUAAUGGGGGACAACAUUCUCGAAAGGGAUGCUAAUACCGCAUACGCCCUACGGGGGAAAGCAGGGGAUCACUUUGACCUUGCGUUAAUAGAUGAGCCUAAGUCGGAUUAGCUAGUUGGUGGGGUAAAGGCCUACCAAGGCGACGAUCUGUAGCGGGUCUGAGAGGAUGGAUCCGCCACACUGGGACUGAGACCACGGCCCAGACUCCUACGGGAGGCAGCAGUGGGGAAUAUUGGAACAAUGGGGGGAACCCUGAUCCAAGCCAUGCCGCGUGUGUGAAGAAGGCCUUAUGGUUGUAGCACUAUUAAGCGAGGAGGAGGCUCUUCUAGUAAUA
rnacentral:rRNA from 1 species